CUGAAUCUGCCCGCUGUUGAAUUUCCUCGUUCUGCAUUGGUGUGGAAGGAGCAGAAGUGGAGAAGGGUGGAUCUGUUUUGGGAGGCAGCACUGUGCUUGGGAGUGCAGAGGCACUUGGGUCUUGCUUACAGAAAUUGCUAUCAUAAGCCUCGCUAUCAAGGCUGCAUAAAAGAGCCAAGUGCAAGUGCCUUUCCUUGGUACUCUUUUUGUCUCCCAGCAUUCCAGCUCAUAACCAGAAUCCAGCUGAGAAGCUCGAUGAACAUGGCCAAUGCCAUCCUCUGGAAUCAAGCACAGAUCAGAGAAAUCACUUCACACUCAGAGAAAGGAGGAAAUGAGAAAAAACUGAUUGUCCACGCUUCCAUGGAUAACAGGCUGUGAAAGGCCACACCAGCAUCAACCGUGCAUGUUUCUCUGGGCCAGGGACCAGCAGUUCAUCCAAGGGGAGCAGGGCUGCUGGGCUAGAGCUGAAUAUCUUAUUUUUCCAGAAACAGAGGGGGCUUUUGCUCACAGAUCUGCCAUUGGACCCAACUUCUAAUCGAAUGGAAAUUUUGCAAAUGUUGGAAUCUGGAAUUGCCCCAUCUUUCUGCUCCUCUCAAAGAUGAAAGAAUAUUUUUUUUUUUUUAUGAAAUAUAUUGAAACAGUAUAAAAAUAAUUUAAAUUGGUGUUGUAUGGGGUUUUUUUUGUUUGUUUCACCUUACAGGAACAGGAGAAAAUAUUUGUUAUGCGGUAUCUGCCUUCAGACUCUCUCUUCUCAGUGAACAUUGAAAGUACUAAUUUGAGGAUCAAUCAGCAUGCCUUUUGCUCUUCUCUGACUCAUUCUCUUCAGAAUGCUUUGAAAAACAAAUUGUAAAUUGAUGAAGAAGCCUGUGUAGCCUUGGACUGAGAUUAGAUGGAUUUAAUGGAACAGAAAAAGUACCCUGCUGUCAUGUUACAAGGCUAGGUACUUAGUUUUUGUUUUAAACCUGUUUGAUGCAAAGGAUUUCAGUUGCAGGUCAGAUGUUAUAAUUCAGAGGAGAUGAUACGUUAUCUAUUUUUUCAUUUCAAAAGCACUGCAGUUUGCUCUUUGUGUAUUACGAAUACAACAGGGUUUGGAUUGCUUUUCAGUAACUGG